rnacentral:rRNA from 1 species
AGGCAGCAAAGCGGAAUUUUGCCCAAUGGGGGAAACCCUGAAGCCGCAACGCCGCGUGAGCGAU